rnacentral:rRNA from 1 species
AACGAACGCUGGCGGCGCGCUUAACACAUGCAAGUCGAACGAGAAGGCGUAGCAAUACGCUUGUACAGUGGCGAACGGGUGAGUAAUACGUGGGCGACCUACCCUCGAGUGGGGAAUAACCCGCCGAAAGGCGGGCUAAUGCCGCGUACGCUUCCAUCUUUAUGGAGGUGGAAGGAAAGCCGUGCCGUGGGCACGGCGCUCAAGGAUGGGCUCACGUCCUAUCAGCUUGUUGGA